rnacentral:misc_RNA from 1 species
GGUUAAAUAGAGCUAUAUCUAUGAUAUUUGAUUUUAAUUUUAAUUUUAUUAAAUUUUAUUUUUUUGAGCCUCUUCUCAUUCAGGUGUGUGCCUGCGCUUGUGCCUAGGCCACAUGACCCCUUUGUGCCUUUAAUUACUAUGUAUUGCAUCAUGAUCAUAUGGACAAACACAUGCUCUAUUAGGUUUAGGUUCUUUCUUGAAGCUUCUGAAUUCUUGCAUUUAGUUAGGU